rnacentral:rRNA from 1 species
GAUGAACGCUGGCGGCGUGCCUAAUACAUGCAAGUCGAGCGAACAGACGAGGAGCUUGCUCCUCUGACGUUAGCGGCGGACGGGUGAGUAACACGUGUAUAACCUACCUAUCAGACUGGUAUAACUUCGGGAAACCGGCGCUAAUCCCGGAUGAUAUAUUGCACCACAUGGUUCAAUAGUGAAAUACGGUUUUUCUGUCACUUCUAGCUGGAUCCGGGCCGCAUGAGCUGGUUGGUAAGGUAACAGCUUUCCAAGGCAACUAUGCGUAGCCGACCGGAGAGGGGGGUCGGCCACACGAGAACGGAACCAGCGUCCAGACUACUACGGGACGCAGCAGUAGGGAAUCGUCCGCAAUAGGGGGAAGCCUGACGGAGCAACGGCGCGUGAGUGAUGAAGGUCUUCGGAGCGUAAAACUCUGUUAUUAGGGAAGAACAAAUGUGUAAGUAAAUAUGCACGUCUUGACGGUACCUAAUCAGAAAGCAACGGCUAACUACGUG